rnacentral:rRNA from 1 species
ACGGGUGAGUAAUGCUUGGGAAUCUGGCUUAUGGAGGGGGAUAACUACGGGAAACUGUAGCUAAUACCGCGUAAUAUCGAGAGAUUAAAGGGUGGGACCGCAAGGCCACCUGCCAUGAGAUGAGCCCAAGUGGGAUUAGGUAGUUGGUGAGGUAAAGGCUCACCAAGCCGACGAUCCCUAGCUGGUCUGAGAGGAUGACCAGCCACACUGGAACUGAGACACGGUCCAGACUCCUACGGGAGGCAGCAGUGGGGAAUAUUGCACAAUGGGGGGAACCCUGAUGCAGCCAUGCCGCGUGAAUGAAGUAGGCCUUCGGGUUGUAAAGUUCUUUCGGUAGCGAGGAAGGCAUUUAGUUUAAUAGACUAGAUGAUUGACGUUAACUACAGAAGAAGCACCGGCUAACUCCGUGCCAGCAGCCGCGGUAAUACGGGGGGUGCGAGCGUUAAUCGGAAUAACUGGGCGUAAAGGGCACGCAGGCGGUGACUUAAGUGAGAUGUGGAAGCCCCGGGCUUAACCUGGGAAUUGCAUUUCAUACUGGGUCGCUAGAGUACUUUAGGGAGGGGUAGAAUUCCACGUGU